CUACGUCCACUCUCCACUUGAAGUCCUGGACAUUUGGCAGCCUACUUGCUUGCAUCAGAGCUGUGCCUUCAGAAACAGGACGCCUGUUACCAAAGACAAUACUGGAAAAGUCCGUGAUGAAAUCUUCUGGUAUCCUGAGCUCCUUCAGGUCUUCCUUAAAAACCUCUUGUUUGAAAGUUGAUAAGGGGAGUCUCAGUGCUUCUCGGAGAAGGGUAUACAUGCCAGAAAUGAGGAAAGCAAGCUGCUCUUCGGAGAGAUCGGUGCUUUCUGCAAUCAGCUUGACAGAGUCUUUGCAGUCUUUUCCUUCCAAUGCAUUCACAGUGACUUUCAGCAGGCGGCGGAAGGUCUCCUUGCCUACUUCCUGCAGGCCGCGGGCCAUCGCCUCUACCUCGGCCGGCACCCGCGGCCCCAGGAAGCCUCCGCUGCCGCCGCUGCUUUCGCCGUGCCCGUAGGCCGCUCCCGCCGCCUUGCCCACCGCCACCGCCGCCAUGGCAGUGCGGCCCCUCCCGGCACCCCGGCACGCC
rnacentral:lncRNA from 1 species